rnacentral:rRNA from 1 species
UACAGAGGUCUCAAGCGUUGUUCGGAUUCAUUGGGCGUAAAGGGUGCGUAGGUGGCGGGGCAAGUCGGAUGUGAAAUCCCGGGGCUCAACCUCGGAACUGCAUUCGAUACUGCUUUGCUUGAGUACUGGAGAGGAGAUUGGGAUUUACGGUGUAGCAGUGAAAUGCGUAGAUAUCGUAAGGAAGACCAGUGGCGAAGGCGGAUCUCUGGACAGUUACUGACACUGAGGCACGAAGGCCAGGGGAGCAAACGGG